AAUUACAUGGUCACUUUAUAUGCUGCUGUUAUUAAUGUAUGUCGUACAUUCAUGUUACUAGGGGUGGACUGGAAUCCAAUCGACCCACAAUUCUGAAAAAAAAAAAAAAAAUAUUGUCAGACCUAACAUAAAGCAUAACCAACACCCAGUGUACAAAAACAUUUACCUCUUCAUUUUUGAGUUUUUGAAUUGACUUAAAGGCUAUCCUUGUUAAAGAAUUUAUAGUAGAUCUGAGCAAACCUAA